GGAACUGCAAAGAAGGGAAGCAGUACCCGGCUGGCGGAUGCCAAGAGAGGGCGCGGUUGGUGGAAGCGCCUGGGAAGCGGCCGGAGAAGUCGUCCCGGAGCAUCCGGCUGAAAGAGCAGUAAGCCGCGACGGUGACCCCGCCGUUAUCGGGAAUGGCGCCAUGCGGCGCCGGUGAGUGCGUGUUUUUUGCAUGAAUUCAGGUGGUACCACGGACAUUGUUCGCCCUGAGC
rnacentral:ncRNA from 1 species